GUUUGUUACGCGCUCGAAGCCAUUUGGCGACGGGCGAGUGCAAGCAUUCUUCUACUCCCGGGGCAACUCGGUGCGGUAGAGCCUUUACUUUGAGAAAAUUAGAGUGUUUCAAGCAAGCAUCGCUUUGAAUACUACAGCAUGGAAUAAUACAAUAGGACUUUAGGCCUAUUUGUUGGUUUCAGGCCUGAAGUA
rnacentral:rRNA from 1 species